rnacentral:rRNA from 1 species
UACGAAGGGGGCUAGCGUUGCUCGGAAUCACUGGGCGUAAAGCGCACGUAGGCGGCUUCUUAAGUCAGGGGUGAAAUCCUGGAGCUCAACUCCAGAACUGCCUUUGAUACUGAGAAGCUUGAGUCCGGGAGAGGUGAGUGGAACUCCGAGUGUAGAGGUGAAAUUCGUAGAUAUUCGGAAGAACACCAGUGGCGAAGGCGGCUCACUGGCCCGGUACUGACGCUGAGGUGCGAAAGCGUGGGGAGCAAACAGG